GACGAACGCUGGCGGCGUGCUUAACACAUGCAAGUCGAACGAAGUGGCGAACGGGUGAGUAACGCGUAAUCAACCUGCCCUUCAGAGGGGGACAACAGUUGGAAACGACUGCUAAUACCGCAUACUGAAGUAGGGGAUUGCGUCUGAUUAGCUAGUUGGAGGGGUAACGGCCCACCAAGGCGAUGAUCAGUAGCCGGGCUGGGAGGAUGAACGGCAACAUUGGGACUGGGACACGGCCCAGACUCCUACGGGCGGGAGCAGGGGGGAAUCUGCCGAAAUGGACGAAAGUCUGACGGAGCAACGCGGCGGGAGGGAUGACGGCCUUCGGGUGGUAAAGCUCUGUUAAUCGGGACGCGGUACCGGAAGAGAAAGCCACGGCUAACUACGUGCCAGCAGCCGCGGUAAUUC
rnacentral:rRNA from 1 species